rnacentral:rRNA from 1 species
AACGAACGCUGGCGGCAGGCCUAACACAUGCAAGUCGAGCGCAUAGCAAUAUGAGCGGCGGACGGGUUAGUAACGCGUGGGAACGUACCCUUUUCUGCGGAAUAGCUUUGGGAAACUGAAGGUAAUACCGCAUACGCCCGCCUUUUGGCGGGGAAAGAUUUAUCGGAGAAGGAUCGGCCCGCGUCUGAUUAGAUAGUUGGUGGGGUAAUGGCCUACCAAGUCUACGAUCAGUAGCUGGUUUGAGAGGAUGAUCAGCAACACUGGGGACUGAGACACGGCCACGACUCCUACCGGGAGGCUG